CAUAAAUGUAAGACAUUCUUACAGAUAGUACUUGCAGCUUAAUGAUGUAAUUUUAUUGUUAUUAGAAGGA
rnacentral:tRNA from 1 species